UACGAGGGGGGCUAGCGUUGCUCGGAUUGACUGGGCGUAAAGUGUGCGCAGGCGGCCGCGCAAGUCGAGUGUGAAAUCCCCGAGCUUAACUUGGGAAUUGCGCUCGAAACUACGUGGCUGGAGUGUGGCAGAGGAAGGUGGAAUUCCACGUGUAGCGGUGAAAUGCGUAGAGAUGUGGAGGAACACCGAUGGCGAAGGCAGCCUUCUGGGCCAACACUGACGCUCAUGCACGAAAGCGUGGGGAGCAAACAGG
rnacentral:rRNA from 1 species